rnacentral:rRNA from 1 species
UACGGAGGAUGCGAGCGUUAUCCGGAUUUAUUGGGUUUAAAGGGUGCGUAGGCGGACUGUCAAGUCAGCGGUAAAAUUGAGAGGCUCAACCUCUUCCCGCCGUUGAAACUGGUGGUCUUGAGUGGAUGAGAAGUACGCAGAAUGCGUGGUGUAGCGGUGAAAUGCAUAGAUAUCACGCAGAACUCCGAUUGCGAAGGCAGCGUACCGGCAUCCAACUGACGCUGAGGCACGAAAGCGUGGGGAUCAAACAGG